AUUAUUUUAGUUUAAAUAAAAUAUCUACUUUGGAAGUAGAAGAUUCCAAAAAUAACA
rnacentral:tRNA from 1 species